UCGAGCGAAUGGAUUAAGAGCUUGCUCUUAUGAAGUUAGCGGCGGACGGGUGAGAACACGUGGGUAACCUGCCCAUAAGACUGGGAUAACUCCGGGAAACCGGGGCUAAUACCGGAUAACAUUUUGAACCGCAUGGUUCGAAAUUGAAAGGCGGCUUCGGCUGUCACUUAUGGAUGGACCCGCGUCGCAUUAGCUAGUUGGUGAGGUAACGGCUCACCAAGGCAACGAUGCGUAGCCGACCUGAGAGGGUGAUCGGCCACACUGGGACUGAGACACGGCCCAGACUCCUACGGGAGGCAGCAGUAGGGAAUCUUCCGCAAUGGACGAAAGUCUGACGGAGCAACGCCGCGUGAGUGAUGAAGGCUUUCGGGUCGUAAAACUCUGUUGUUAGGGAAGAACAAGUGCUAGUUGAAUAAGCUGGCACCUUGACGGUACCUAACCAGAAAGCCACGGCUAACUACGUGCCAGCAGCCGCGGUAAUACGUAGGUGGCAAGCGUUA
rnacentral:rRNA from 1 species